rnacentral:rRNA from 1 species
UCAGGAUGAACGCUAGCUACAGGCUUAACACAUGCAAGUCGAGGGGCAUCAGGAAGAAAGCUUGCUUUCUUUGCUGGCGACCGGCGCACGGGUGAGUAACACGUAUCCAACCUGCCCUUUACUCGGGGAUAGCCUUUCGAAAGAAAGAUUAAUACCCGAUAGCAUAAUGAUUCCGCAUGGUUUCAUUAUUAAAGGAUUCCGGUAAAGGAUGGGGGUGCGUUCCAUUAGGUUGUUGGUGAGGUAACGGCCCACCAAGCCUUCGAUGGAUAGGGGUUCUGAGAGGAAGGUCCCCCACAUUGGAACUGAGACACGGUCCAAACUCCUACGGGAGGCAGCAGUGAGGAAUAUUGGUCAAUGGGCGCUAGCCUGAACCAGCCAAGUAGCGUGAAGGAUGAAGGCUCUAUGGGUCGUAAACUUCUUUUAUAUAAGAAUAAAGUGCAGUAUGUAUACUGUUUUGUAUGUAUUAUAUGAAUAAGGAUCGGCUAACUCCGUGCCAGCAGCCGCGGUAAUACGGAGGAUCCGAGCGUUAUCCGGAUUUAUUGGGUUUAAAGGGAGCGUAGGUGGACUGGUAAGUCAGUUGUGAAAGUUUGCGGCUCAACCGUAAAAUUGCAGUUGAUACUGUCAGUCUUGAGUACAGUAGAGGUGGGCGGAAUUCGUGGUGUAGCGGUGAAAUGCUUAGAUAUCACGAAGAACUCCGAUUGCGAAGGCAGCUCACUGGACUGCAACUGACACUGAUGCUCGAAAGUGUGGGUAUCAAACAGGAUUAGAUACCCUGGUAGUCCACACAGUAAACGAUGAAUACUCGCUGUUUGCGAUAUACAGUAAGCGGCCAAGCGAAAGCAUUAAGUAUUCCACCUGGGGAGUACGCCGGCAACGGUGAAACUCAAAGGAAUUGACGGGGGCCCGCACAAGCGGAGGAACAUGUGGUUUAAUUCGAUGAUACGCGAGGAACCUUACCCGGGCUUAAAUUGCAGUGGAAUGAUGUGGAAACAUGUCAGUGAGCAAUCACCGCUGUGAAGGUGCUGCAUGGUUGUCGUCAGCUCGUGCCGUGAGGUGUCGGCUUAAGUGCCAUAACGAGCGCAACCCUUAUCUUUAGUUACUAACAGGUUAUGCUGAGGACUCUAGAGAGACUGCCGUCGUAAGAUGUGAGGAAGGUGGGGAUGACGUCAAAUCAGCACGGCCCUUACGUCCGGGGCUACACACGUGUUACAAUGGGGGGUACAGAAGGCAGCUAGCGGGUGACCGUAUGCUAAUCCCAAAAUCCUCUCUCAGUUCGGAUCGAAGUCUGCAACCCGACUUCGUGAAGCUGGAUUCGCUAGUAAUCGCGCAUCAGCCACGGCGCGGUGAAUACGUUCCCGGGCCUUGUACACACCGCCCGUCAAGCCAUGGGAGCCGGGGGUACCUGAAGUACGUAACCGCAAGGAUCGUCCUAGGGUA